AACGAACGCUGGCGGCAUGCCUAACACAUGCAAGUCGAACGGGAUCCUAGCUUGCUAGGUGAGAGUGGCGGACGGGUGAGUAACACGUGGGAAUCUGCCUUUUGGUUCGGGAUAACCGCGGGAAACUGCGGCUAAUACCGAAUGCCCUCGAGAGAGGAAAGAUUUAUCGCCAGAAGAGGAGCCCGCGUCCGAUUAGGUAGUUGGUGGGGUAAAGGCCUACCAAGCCGACGAUCGGUAACUGGUCUGAGAGGAUGAUCAGCCACACUGGGACUGAGAUACGGCCCAGACUCCUACGGGAGGCAGCAGUGGGGAAUAUUGGACAAUGGGGGCAACCCUGAUCCAGCAAUGCCGCGUGAGUGAUGAAGGCCUUAGGGUUGUAAAGCUCUUUUGCCAGGGAAGAUGAUGACUGUACCUGGAGAAUAAGCCCCGGCUAACUUCGUGCCAGCAGCCGCGGUAAU
rnacentral:rRNA from 1 species